rnacentral:lncRNA from 1 species
GCUAGUAACUGCACAGACCCAUCUGAAAGCCCUUUGAUAGAUGUAAUGGAUUUGAGCAUGGACUGUGUGUCAGACGCUGCGUCAGAGACUGGGAUACCACAGGGACCUGACCAGAUAUAAACUCUGCUCUCUAGAAGCUUGACAGUCCAAGCAUCACAAAUAUUUGAUUCGGUAUACUUUUUAAUCACUCAUGCUCAACUGAACUAUUUGGUAAAAGGUAAAAAAGCAGAAUCACUCUACAUCCUCAAAGGAACUCAGUAUACAACAGCAACAGCAACAGCUGCUUCCUGCUUUACAUGCUGAAAACAAAUGGUUCAGCCAAAGUUUGUUUUUGCAAAAAUAAACAUAGUGCAACUGAGGAGUCUU